UACGAGAGGCCCAAACGUUAUUCGGAAUUACUGGGCUUAAAGAGUUCGUAGGCGGCGCAGAAAGUAGGGUGUGAAAUCCCUCGGCUCAACCGAGGAAUUGCGCUCUAAACUACUGUGCUCGAGGGACCUAGAGGUAAGCGGAACUGAUGGUGGAGCGGUGAAAUGCGUUGAUAUCAUCAGGAACACCGGAGGCGAAGGCGGCUUACUGGGGGUCUUCUGACGCUGAGGAACGAAAGCCAGGGGAGCGAACGGG
rnacentral:rRNA from 1 species